UACGUAGGGUGCGAGCGUUGUCCGGAAUUAUUGGGCGUAAAGGGCUCGUAGGCGGUUUGUCGCGUCGGGAGUGAAAACACACAGCUUAACUGUGUGCUUGCUUCCGAUACGGGCAGACUAGAGGUAUGCAGGGGAGAACGGAAUUCCUGGUGUAGCGGUGAAAUGCGCAGAUAUCGGGAGGAACACCAGUGGCGAAGGCGACUACCUGGCCUGUUCUUGACGCUGAGGCGCGAAAGCUAGGGGAGCA
rnacentral:rRNA from 1 species